UUUGCGCCAGUGCCUUCUUCACUUUUAGGUUUUCGCCAUCUUAGGUUUCCCCUUUUACAAGUUGACACAACUUACUUCUCUUCAAAACAAUAUUAUAUAUAUUAUAUAUAUCAAUUCAUAUCGCCACUUUGCGCCAGUGCCUUCUUCACUUUUAGGUUUUCGCCAUCUUAGGUUUCCCCUUUUACAAGUUGACACAACUUACUUCUCUUCAAAACAAACCUGCGCACCAUCAAGAUCUGCCUUCUCCCCCAUCUUCUCUCUGGUCUCUCACACCUCCGGUCGACGGAGGAGGGAUUGCAGCGCCGGUAUACUCGGUCAGGCGAGACGCACACACCCCCACCGCCUUCGUUUUCCUCUCUCUCGCACACUGUUUUCGGCCGGAGAGUGGCAGAGCGGACGGUGCUCCGGCAAUGGCGUAGCGGCGAUGGUGAAUUUGACGGUGGUUCAGUGACGGAGACCCUCCAAAUCGACCCUUCUGAACCUACUUCUGGUAGUCGCUGAAGGUAACAUGGCUCAAGUCAACAAACUCAGGUCGCCAAUUGGCUUCUUUCCGAUUUAACCACCAUCCUCAUCGGAUGAACCGACGGUAGCCACCCUCGACAACUUAGAGGCUCGAACAGAGAACUGUAUGAUGUACUUCAUGUGUCUCCUGAAGCUUCCAAUGAAGAAAUCCGUAAAGCUUAUCAUCAGUGGGCGCAAAUUUAUCAUCCUGAUAAGUAUCAGGAUCAACAGAUGAAGGAAGAUGAAGGAUGUAGGUACAUAGAACUUUCAGAGGAUAUAUGAAGCAUAUGAGAUAUUAACCGAUGAAUAUAAACGACAGAUAUAUGACAUGUUAAACUGACAAGUAUCUACAUUGACAUUGAUACAGCUUCACUCCGGUGGUCACUGACGAACGACGGCGGUGGUAAAUCCGCUCGAAUCAACCACGGCAGCCAUGAUUAGGGACGUAAUGUAUUAUGCAGCAUAAUAAAGCAUACUUCAUCAGCCGCAACGCGGCGGGAUCAUCCUAGUUAUAAUAAUAAAUAACAAAUAUAAAAUUGUACACAUCACUUUCAAUUAGGUAUUAACCACCCACUUACUAACUUACCCAUCCUCUCACAAGCAUGCUGCUACAAGUCUAUAUUUGAUCAUCAUUUGCCUGCUUCGUCGGAACAUUCAUAAGCUGGUCAAUAAUGGAUUUUUCAUGAGGAAGCCUACCAAGGUUCACUCGUGCUAAUCGUAUAAAGGAAAGGGUCGUUAUUCUUACAGGUUUCAACUUCUAAGGUGAGUCUACAAACAAUUGUUCCUUUUCAUAAUUAAGGUAGGGAAGUUAUACUAUAUAUGGUGGGUGAUGAAUUAUGGUUUCAAACUUUGAAUCCUGGAAUCUUGAAUAUUGUUUAUUGAUUGUGAAUUUGUGAUUUCGGGGAGUCUUUUAUUGAUUCAAUGACGUAAUUAAAAGUGUUGGGUCAUUGGUUUCUUCCUGAAUU
rnacentral:lncRNA from 1 species